AAUGGAUUAAUAAAUAAGUUCUCCUUCAUAUCCCCACAUGUAUCACGAGAGGAUAAUAUAGGAAAUGCAAUAGCAAAAAUACUCUUGAAAUAUGAGGAGUACUUCAAGGAUAAGAUGAUUCUUGCACCUUGCAAUCUAGGGAAACAUUGGGUGUUACUUGUCAUCAAUCUCGACGCUGAGGUGAUAUAUUACAUGGAUCCGUUGAGUGGUGAGCCAACAAAACAUCAAAAUUUAAAAACCAAGUUUGAGAAUGCGUUGCAAAUUUAUCGUGCUAAUAGUAAUUCUAAAGUGCCUAAAGUCUCCAAGUCAAAGAAAAUUUCAUGGUAAAAAAUUCGGUGUCCCCGCCAAAUUAAUAGCAUUGACUGUGGAUAUUUUGUAAUGCGAUUUAUGAAAGAGGUCAUCAUGGAAAAUGAAAUUAUGAUCCCCGUAAAUUACUUUCAUGUCCACAAGUGUCGUACCUACUCUAUGGAUAAGUUAACCGAGAUCAAGGAGGAUUGGGCUACCUAUAUGGUGGAUGAUGUUUUUGGAAAACAAGAAGCAGUUAUUUUGCCUAGCUAGCAAAGUGAUUAUAUAUCUGGAUUCGGAAGUGCUUUGGUUCGCGAAGUGGUUACUACUUGAUGUUGUUUUGUUGUCCUUGUUUUUUUAGUGAUUGUACUUUUUGUUUGGAAUUUAGUUUGAUAUCCUCUUAGUUGGACCAAAUUAAUAAUUUGUGGCAAAAGUUUUAGCUUAUUUUCAUUGAGAUCAAUGUUGAAUAUGGUUUGUUAAUUUGGUUGUUAUCAUUUACCACUAUUAUGUAGUGUAGAUUGAUCUAUAUAGUUGGUUAAUAUUAUUUUAA